rnacentral:lncRNA from 1 species
CAGAUUUAAUAGAGUAUUGGUCUAUUUGAAUAUUUAAAUAGGUACAAGCUUUGAUAGCAAUAUUUAAAUGAGAACUCAUAACAACUUAACAGCUUGCUUGGAUGGUUGUAACCAGCUGUACUGUAUUUGUUUUUACAUUUUGGUAGCUAGCAAGAUUUUAUUAAUUACCAAGUUGAUAAUUACAAACCUAGCAUGACCAAUAGUCUGCUAUAUGCCAAUACUUAAACAGGCUCAUCACUAACACUCUUAGGAGUAACAGGCUCCUAACUAAUACAUGCCCUCAUCAAUCCUAUAGGAAUUGAAAAUGUUGUAAAUACUGAGCUAUUCCUACAUCUACUCUAACAUAACAAGUGCAGACAACUUCUCUAGUUAUUACUUCCCAAGACCUCUCCUGUUACACAAAAAUCCAUGAGUUUCUUUCCAAUCAGAUGGAGGGUAUAAGUUCUGUGUAGAUCAUCUUCAGGCAUCUGACUUGCUUAGACUUGCCCUUGCUAGCUUUGAUAAUCAACUCCACCGUUUCAUCCUACUUGAGAUUACUAGCUCAUUGCCCCUGGAUCCAAUCAAGUAAUUUCUACCAGAGUUGUCUAGUAAACUCACAGUUAUUAAAGAGAUAAUCUCUAGUUUCAUCUACCAUCUUGCAUAGGAAACACUUUUUCUCUACCUAUAUUCCCCAUUUGCUCAACCUAUCCACUGUUAGUUGCUUAUUUUGUAUGUGCAGCCACAAAAUAAAAAUUAUUUUUGGCCUGGCUAGACUUUGAUUUAGUAGAUUCUUCCAUGCUACUUUAGGUAAAUCACCUAGUUAUUGUAAAUAUAUUUGUCUAAUCAUCGACUUCUUACCAUGAUUUUGACACUCAUGCUUCCCAACAAGCUCCUAGAAUUGAAAAUUUUCUUUACCAUCCAACUUGUCUGCUGAGGCAGUGACAUGAUUUCUAACUACUGUAGCUUUACAUAAUAAGAAUGAAUCUGUCUAAUCCUUAAGCUAUUCUUUUCCCUGGAUAGAUUCUAACAUGUUUGGUGAUGGUUGCCUUAUUCUAUUGAAAGCCAACUUCUAGCUAAGAAGGAGCAAUUGGGAAAGGGGAAUUUACUGAGAAGGAAGAGAGAGAACAGUGAAGCAGUGAGUUGAAAGUAGCCGACUUACUCUCAUUAGUCUGUGGUUGGAGUAUAUGUACAAAUAUCUAACUACAUCAUUAAUUAGCAUAACCACCUAUCACUAACUAAUCACAUUUACUAUUUAAGUACAAAUAUCUAAUGCAAGUAUUACUAUGUACAAGUCACCUUAACUAGUACUACAAUUCACCAAUCACACUAAUCUUUACACUCCCCUCAAGUUGGGUGCUGGAAAACAUCAACCAGUCCUAACUUGAACAACAUGUCAUUGUGAAGCUGUUUGCCCAAAACUUUCGUAAAGAUAUCCGCUAAUUGUUCUUUGCUUGCUAUAUACUCAGUCUUGACCAAGCCUUCUUGAAUUUUUUCUCUAAUAAAAUGACAAUCAAUCUCUAUAUGUUUUGUCCUUUCAUGAUAUAUAGGAUUGAAAGCAAUUUGUAAAGCUGCCUUAUUGUCACAAUAUAGCUCCAUAGGUAACUCAAUUUGUGCUCCUAAUUCCUGUAAUAGACCUUGUAGCCAAACCAACUCUACCAUAGCUGUUGCCAUGUUCCUAUAUUCUGCUUCUGCUGAGCUCCUUGAGACGAUACUUUGUUUUUUAGACUUCUAUGAUAUCAAUGAACCACCAAACUUGAUCCCAAAGCCUGUAACUGACUUCUUGGACAGUAGGCAUGAUGCUCAGUCAGCAUCACAGAAUGUUGCUAUCUUCCUUGAUCCUUUGCUGCUCAUCAAUAUUCCCAAUCCUAGUUGUCUUUUAAUGUAUCUUACCACAUGAAGUGUUGCUUCAUAAUGUGACUUCUUGGGAGCAUGCAUAAAUUGGAUCAAGUGUUGUACUGCAAAUGAAAUAUCUGGCCUUGUCAUGGCUAGAUAUAAUAACCUUCCUAUUAGUCUCUGGUAAAUUCUUCUAUCUUCCAAUUCAGUGUCAUCUGUUGCUUGACUAGACUGUCAUAUUCAAGACUUAUAAGUUUCUGGUUUUGCUCAAGAGGUGUGUUAUUUAUCUUUCCUCCAGCUAGGCCACACUCUGAUAUGAGUUCCAGUACGUACCUUCUUUGAUUUAUUAAUAUUCCCCUGUGUGAUAGUGCAAACUCAAUGCCAAGGAAAUACCGUAGUUCACCUAGAUAUUUUAUUUUGAAACUAUGAUGCAAAAUGUUCUCAGCUUCCUGAAUUAAGCCUUUAUUGCUUCCAGUUAUCAAUAAGUCAUCCACAUAUACCAGUAUAAUAGCAAUAUCCCCAUUAUCAUCUGUUUUGGUAAAGAGAGAAUAGUUUUGUUUGCUUUGUAUAAAGCCUGCAGUUGUGAGAGCAGUGGUAAGCUUCAGUUUCUAUUGUCUGCUAGCUUGUUUUAGUCCAUAUAAGGACUUUAGCAGCCUGCAAACCUUAUGCUCUCCCUGGCUGCUAAAACCAGGUGGAAGAUUCAUGUAAACCUCCUCAUAUAAAUCACCCUAGAGGAAUGCAUUAUACACAUCUAAUUAAAGAAUAGACUAAUUAUAUUGAGCAGCCAGAGAGACAACACACCUAACAGUCACCAUCUUGACAACAGGGGAAAAAGUGUCAUGAUAAUAAAGUCCUUCUUGAUGGGUAAACCCCUUAGCAACCAACCUAGCCUUGUAUCUUUAACACUACCAUCAGCUUUUUAUUUCACCUUAUAAACCCACCUACAACCAAUGAGAGUCUUUGCUGAAAGUAGGUUAAAAAUAUCCCAAGUGUAAUUGUCAUUCAAAGCUUGAAUUUCUUGGUUCAUAACUUGAAUCCAAUUACUGUCCUGAGCAACUUGUUCAAAAGAGGAGGGUUCAGAAAUAAAAGCUGAGAAGGCAAUAAUUUAGGAUUUGUAAGGAUGUGAGAUAGAAGAAUAAGAUAAGGAACUGGAGAUGGGGUGAAGAGUAGUGGAAGAAGUAACAUAAUCAGUAUGCCAUAUAGGAGGUUUAGUUAAUUUUGAUGACCUUCUAGUAGGCUAAGAGACAGGAAUAGGAACUAAGGGUGCAACUGGAGGAUCUGAAGUAUCAGAAGAAAAAGAAGAUCUAGAAGCAGCUGAAAAACUUGAUGAAGAAGAGCUAGAAGUAGAAGGUGUAACAGAGGGAAAUAUGCCAUCUGCUGGAUGAGGAAAAGGUUGUGGUGCUAUAGGAAAUGUAGAACAAGAUUGGUUUGGUAUAGUUUCUAGAAAAGUAUGUCUUGGAUAUUUAAAAGAAAAUACAGCUUCUCUGAAGGAGACAUAUCUAUUCACAAAAAAAGACCCAGUAGCAAUGUUAUACAACCUAUAGCCCUUUUGUGUGUCUGAAUAUCCCAUAAAAAUAGAUUGAAUUGAUCAAGGAGAAAAUUUAUCAGAAUUAAGAGGUGUAGUGGCAUAACAUAGACAACCAAAUACUCUUAAGGUUUCAGGUUAGGAGAAUGGUUGUAAAAGAUUUUAUAAGGUGAUUUCCCUGACAAAACUGAGGGAGGUAGUCUAUUAAUCAAAAAGGUUACUAUGAGUACACAGUCUCCCCAAAAUUUAAGUGGUACAUGUGCCUGAAACCUAAGGGCUCUGGCCAUCUCAAGGAGAUGGCUCUUCUUUCUUUCAGCAACUCUAUUUUGCUAAGAGUAUGCACACAGGUACUUUGGUAGAUAAUGCCAGAAGAUGAAAAAAAAGAGUCACACUGGUUGUUAAAAAAUUCAAGGCCAUUAUCUGAUCUGAUUAUUUUAACAGUGGCUGAGAAUUAUGUUUUGACUAAAUCCAAAAAAGAGGUAAUAAAAGUAAUGACUUCACUUUUGAAUCUCAUCAAGUAAACCCAUGUCAUUCUAGAAUAGUCAUCUACACUAGUGAGAAAGAACCGAUGACCAUUAUAAGUGCAUUGUUUAUAUGGUCCCCAAACAUCCAUGUGCAGUAAUUCAAAAGGAGAAAUAGAUUUUUUAACACUAGAAGGAAAAGGAAAUCUAGUUUGUCUUGCAAGAGGGAAUACAAGACAAGAACUAAAAUCUUUAUGUUGUUUACAUGAUUUCAGGAGAUCAAUCUUGUGAAGUACAACAAUGGGUGCAUGACCGAGCCUCAUAUGCCAGAUGGAAAGGUAUGAAUCAAAGGUAGAACAAGAAGAAUGAAGAGCUUUGACAGGUGUUGGCUUCUUAGUGGUGGAUGGGAGCAUGC